CUUCUGGGCAAAAAAAAAAAAUAAAAGCCAUCAGCUCUAAGGAAAAGAACAGUGCCCUUCGCAACGCCUGGUUUUUGGGAUAAAGAUAUUAAUGAUAUAAACUCUCUAACAGGAACCACUUGAAGCAGGGAAGUCCAGAUGCUUCUGACACGCUCCGAGCUCCGAGCUCCUGAUCCCAUGUGUGGAAGGCUCAGAUCAAUUCUAUCUCUUCAAGACAGGAGGGUAGCAUUAUUGUCCUCUGCAAGACUCAACAGAGCAGCCGACUGACACACGUGCACAGACAUACGGCCAAAUAUCGAAUGGAGCUCAGUGAGUCUCACUGAAGGGCUGAGGGAAGUGCAGACAGAGACAGAGGAGCACAAUGAUCUUCAGAACUAAGAAAAUCCAAUUUGUACCUGAGCACUUGACUCAAAAAUUGCCUUCUGCUCUCCUGAAGAUGAGACUACGAACCCUACUAUAGCUGGGAAUGGUAAUCCAGGUUGAUUCACUAAUCUUGUGGGCUACUGCCAGAUCCUGGCCAGUACCCAUGCAAGUUCAUAGCAAUUCAUCUGUUUUGCCAAACUUUUCCUCUGCCUCCUGUUUGUGUGAUGCUCCCUGUAUUUUGCCAAAUGGAGAAAUGCCCCAAUGCUAUGCAGCCAUUAACUUUUCUCUGUCGCAACCUUAUGUUUUAUUUAAAGAACUCUUCCCUGCCUUGCAUUUGGUUGCGUAGAGCCACAUUUCAAUAUUCAAUAUAAUAUAAGCUCUAAUGUGAGCAAUAUACCCAUUUGGUAUCUGGCCUCCUAUUAGUUAAUCAAAGGAUAGAUUUAGUUCAAGGACAAAUUGAAGCACCUUACCAUAUUACGCAGCUGUCCUGCUUUUCUUCCCAUAGAGGCUUAUGCAUUACUCCUUUGCAAGUUAACUUUUCUCACCAUUCUCAACAGAGCAAAGAAAUCUUGAAUUAUCUGAAAGGGAACUAUUCCAUGAAAGCAGAGCAACUAUCAAGACAAUUGCUGAUGUAGAUUGCUGACUUAACAGCACUAGGUUGGACCCUAUCACAGUUGAAGACUUUACGUCAUGGAUUGCCAAUGCUUUCGCCCUUUAUUAUGGAGUGGGCUGGUAUGUUUGCCUGGGGAGAUAUUUUCCUCCUUGGAUGCAGAGUAUGUCUCUAGCUUAUUGGCCAUUUAAAAAGAUAACAUGUCAGACAAAAAGCGGUUGUUUACCAGGCUAUGAUCGUCUUUGAAAAUGGUGCUUCUCCCAACAUAGGGAUGGCCUCUUUAUAAGAUUAAGUGUUCACCCUAGAUCAUUUUUGUCAUUGUCAUGUGGAAUCAUUGUAUCCAGAGAUGGGUAAAUAUCCUCGAGUUCGGUCCAACCUGAGACAGGAGGCCCAGUGGUUGUAUGUGAACCCAAUGAUGGGUAAGUCUGAGUCAUCAUCAGGAAUGAUCUAAGACAGGAGCAAUGAAAAGAAUGAUGUUACACCCAGAUCUAGACCAUUCAUAUUAUUAAACAAAAAAGGGGGAGAAGUGGGGAGCAGCAUGGUAAAACAAAGAUGGCGCAGACAUCCUGUCCCGUGUGGUAGUAAAUGACUUAUCGAGGAUGCAUAGGCUUGUCCACUUGCCAGGGCGGCCUUAUGAUAAUGAGGUAAUCCAGAGCCCUGCUGUGGUGAACAAAGGUAUUUGCAUACAGCUCAUGCAUGGAAUUUGCACCUGGCAUCAGUUGGAUGGGACAGGAAUGUGCUAAUGAGGGAUUCAUGCUCUGCCAAUCCAUGAAGGACAAGUAGCAGAGUAAUAGUGGGGUGAUCCAUGAUCCACCAAUCCCUGAAGGACAAUUAGCAUAACCACAGUCUCUUCUCUACAUAAGGCGAGCGCUUUUGCCGCUUGAGUUCCCCUUAUCAGUAAAGAGGUGAUCCCGCAAUAAAGGCUGUUAAGAAGAAUCCCACUGUGUUGCGUAUUCCUUGCCAGCCGAGGUGGACGUGACACUUCAGAAUAAAAGUCGUAGAAAGAUCAGGAAUUGAAGGCCCAUUUCUAAACAUAGUGAAAGAAAUAUACUGUAAACCUCUACAUAACAUCAAACUAAAUGGGGAGUAACUUGAAGCAGUCUCACUAAAAUCAGGGACUAGAUAAGGCUGCACCACUUUCUGCCUACUUAUUCAAAACAGGACUCCAUGUCAUAGACAGAGAAACCAGACAACAAAAGUAGGUCAAAAGGAUACAAUUGGAAGGUUAGAUAUCAAAAUAUCACUAUUUGCAGAUGAUAUGAUUGUAUACUUAAGUGACACCAAAAGUUCCACCAGAGAACUACUUAAUCUGAUAAAUAACUUCAGCAAAGUGUCAGGGCAUAAAAUUAACUCAAACAUACCAGGAGCCUUUCUAUCCUAAAUGGAUAAACAAGCUGAGAAUGAAAAUAAUGAAAUCAUACACUUCACAAUGGUCCCAAAUAAUGUAAAAUAUCUUGUUGUGAGAUUUACCAAGCAGGUGAAUAAUCUGUAUGACAAGAAAUUCAUGUCUCUGAAGAGAGAAAUUGAAGAAGAACUCAAAAGAUACAAUGAGCUUCCAUGCCCAUGAAUUGACAGAAUUGAUAUAGUAAAGAUGACCAUUUUGCCAAAAGCAAUCUACACAAUCAAUGCAAUCUCCGUCAAAAUUACAAUUCUUUAAUAGAGAAAGAGCAACUUGUAAAAUCAUUUGGAAUAAGAAAAAGCCAUGAUAGCUAAAACUAUCCUCAACAAUAAAAGAACUUCUGCGGGAACCACCACCCCUGAACUCCAGCAGUAUUACAUAGCAAUAGUGAUAAAAACUCCAUGGUAUUUGUAGAGAAACAGACAGAUAGAGAGUGAAAAAGAAUUGAAGACCCAGAAAUGAACCCACAAACCUUUCACUUGAUCUUUGGCAAUGGAGAUAAAUCCAUCCAAAGGAAGAAACAUAACAUUUUCCGAAAAAAGGGCUGGUUGAACUGGAAGUCAGCAUGAAGAUGAGGGCAUAUUAUACCAUUUUAAGACCAUGUACAAAGCUUAAGUACGAGUGAAUCAAGGACCUUCACAUCAUACCAGAUACACUCAAACUAAUAUGUAGGGAGAAGCUAAAGAUGGCUCCGAAAUCCGGUGAUCAUUAGUGAUAAACAACUACAAGGUGCAUGUCGUGACAUUUCUCCAGCAGUUAUCAGACUGGAGUAAUAUUCAUGUUAAUAAGGUAUUUCAUACUCCACCAA